ACGAAUGCGGCAACACCGUCCCGCUCCCGGCUUCCCAGUACAUAGCGGUGUUCUCGCACCCCGGGUACGGCUGCAAGGCGUUCCCCGACGGCCCGACCUACAACUGCAGAGUCACCUUCACGGCAACUUCCAAUAUUGGCUUUUUAUUCUUCGGGAAACACUUUAUUGGCAGUGACCGGUCCUGCGACGGCUACAAUCUUACCGCUUCUUACGGCACUACGCAAGACGCUAACUUCUGUAUCCUCUACCUUCAAGCUCUCGGGACCAACACGAUGACAUUAACGCUGCGGGGCACGGCUCUGGCUAAGACCUUCAAGGGAGGCUUCACCUUGCUACUGCAAACGUAAUAAAUGCUCGUCGUUUGCUCCCUACCUAUGUCGGAGCCCGGCUUGACCUGGAAUAUCUGCUGCACUUUGAGUUCAUAUCACGUGAUGACACUGAGACAUUGAUGAAGAACCCUCGUAUCUGGAGAGGAUGCCAGGGUCCUAUGCCCACAUCAUAUCUGGAGAGGAUGCCAGGGUCCUAUGCCCACAUCGUAUCUGGAGAGGAUGCCAGGGUCCUAUGCCCACAUCGUAUCUGGAGAGGAUGCCAGGGUCCUAUGCCCACAUUUGAAGUUAGCUUUUCGAACAAAUUGUGUUGCGGAGCUCAGAGGCCUUACGAUUAUAAACAUUUAAAAUUUUGUAACUCCUACUCCGUCAGCCAAUCACUGACGGCUUAUCAAACCAAACUAACCAAUCACAGACAAGAAAUUGGUUGCUGCAUAUUGGGGCGACUUUCGAUUGUACGGUCACUGAAGGGCCCACACAAGCCCGCGACAAAGCCGGAAUGAUUCAUCAAACCUAAAUGUAUUAUGAAAUCAAAAUUUUGAGCCCUUUAAAUAUAGGGUGAUAAAUGUGUUAGAAACAAUAUAAAUACCAUUUGAGAAAAUUGAAACCUUUCCAUUACAAAAAAUUUGGUCCAAUGAUUCUCCAUGAUUGAACAUCAGCACACCAGUUUGAAAAUUUUAUUUGUGAAAUGCUACACACGAGUGUGUUACUUUUUCUGUGUGAAGUGGUGAUGCCACACAUGAGUUUCACUUUAUCUGUGUGAAGUGGUGAUGCCACACAUGAGUUUUACUUUAUUUGUGUGAAGUGGUGACAUCACACAUGAGUUUUACUUUAUCUGUGUGAAGUGUUGACAUCAUAUAUGAGUUUUACUUUAUCUGAGUGAAGUGGUGACAUCACACAUGAGUUUUACUUUAUCUGUGUGAGGUGGUGACAUCACACAUGAGUUUUACUUUAUCUGUGUGAAGUGGUGACAUCACACAUGAGUUUUACUUUAUCUGUGUGAGGCGGUGACAUCACACAUGAGUUUUACUUUAUCUGUGUGAAGUGGUGACAUCACACAUGAGUUUUACUUUAUCUGUGUGAGGCGGUGACAUCACACAUGAGUUUUACUUUAUCUGUGUGAAGAGGUGACAUCACACAUGAGUGUUACUUUAUCUGUUUGAAUUAUAGGGCGUUUCAUGGUUAUAAUAGAAGUCUUGGGUUCCUUGUGUGUGCGUAAUAGAGAAAAAAAUGAAUGCAUUGCAUGAAAUUAAUAAACUUAUUCGAGAUUCUCUUCCUUGUUGAUCGUCCAUUUAAAUUCUUUAUUAGAGUGUCCAGGUGGGGGCUAGAUGAUGGGGGUAAACUCCCCUUAAUUGGGGGGCUAGACCCGCAGUAAUGGUAGUAUAAUACAUUAAUUUUACCACCACCUGUACUACUUUGUUUCCCUGUAAUCUAGUCAAGCCCUUACGAGAGUUCCACUCCCCCGAUAGUUUUCUCAGUGUUGCUUUCUGUCUCAGAUGUUUUCUUCGUCAUCAAUAAAAGAGUUGCAUUCA